UACGGGGGGGGCAAGCGUUGUUCGGAAUUACUGGGCGUAAAGCGCGCGUAGGCGGCUCUUCAAGUCGAGUGUGAAAGCUCCAGGCUUAACUGGGAGAGGUCGUUGAAGACUGGAAGACUUGAGGCAAUGAGAGGGGUGUAGAAUUCCCGGUGUAGUGGUGGAAUGCGUAGAUAUCGGGGGGAAUACCAGUGGCGAAAGCGGCACCCUAGCGUUAGCCUGACGCUCAUGUGCGAAAGCGUGGGGAGCGAACGGG
rnacentral:rRNA from 1 species